GAGGGUGUAGCUCAGUGGUAGAGUGCAUGCCUAGCAUGCACAAGGUCCUAGGUUCAAUCCUCAGUAUCUCCA
rnacentral:tRNA from 1 species